rnacentral:rRNA from 1 species
GACGUAGGGUGCAAGCGUUAUCCGGAUUUACUGGGCGUAAAGAGCGCGUAGGCGGAUCGUUAAGUGUAGAGUGAAAUCUCCAGGGCUCAACCCGGAAACUGCUCUGCAUACUGGCGAUCUUGAGGGGCACAGAGGCAACUGGAAUUCCUGGUGAAGCGGUGAAAUGCGUAGAUAUCAGGAGGAACUCCCAUGGCGAAGGCAGGUUGCUGGGCUGAUACUGACGCUGAGGCGCGAAAGCUAGGGUAGCAAACGGG